rnacentral:rRNA from 1 species
UACGUAGGGUGCGAGCGUUAAUCGGAAUUACUGGGCGUAAAGCGUGCGCAGGCGGUUUUGUAAGACAGGCGUGAAAUCCCCGGGCUCAACCUGGGAAUUGCGCUUGUGACUGCAAGGCUAGAGUACGUCAGAGGGGGGUAGAAUUCCACGUGUAGCAGUGAAAUGCGUAGAGAUGUGGAGGAAUACCGAUGGCGAAGGCAGCCCCCUGGGACGUGACUGACGCUCAUGCACGAAAGCGUGGGGAGCAAACAGG